rnacentral:rRNA from 1 species
UUCCGGUUGAUCCUGCCGGACCCCACUGCUAUCGAGAUGGGACUAAGGUAUGCUAGUCGAACGACCAGAACUAUGUCUGGGAGUGGCACACUGCUCAGUAACACGUAGCUAACCUACCCUUAGGACGUGGAUACCCCCGAGAAAUUGGGGUUAAUCCGCGAUAGAUGUAAUGUCCUGGAAUGGUAUUACGUCUAAAGGUAUUUCAUACAUGUUUGAAAUAUGCCUAAGGAUGGGGCUGCGGCCGAUCAGGCUGUUGGUGAGGUAAUGGCUCACCAAACCUUUGACCGGUACGGGCCAUGAGAGUGGUAGCCCGGAGAUGGACACUGAGACAAGGGUCCAGGCCCUAAGGGGCGCAGCAACCGCGAAACCUCCACAAUGCACUCACGUGCGAUGGGGCUAUCUCGAGUGCCACCUGAUGAAGGUGGCUUUUCCUUGGUCUUCAAAGCCUUGGGAAUAAGAGGGGGGCAAGACUGGUGUCAGCCGCCGCGGUAACACCAGCCCCUCGAGUGGUGGGGAUGAUUAUUUGGCCUAAAGCGUCCGUAGCCGGCCGUGAAAGUCUUCCGUUAAAUCCAGCGUCUCAAGCGUUGGACCGCGGGAGAUACUACAUGGCUAGAGAGUGGGAGAGGUCAGCGGUAUUCUGGGGGUAGGGGCGAAAUCCUUUGAUCCCCGGAGGACCACCAGUGGCGAAGGCUGCUGACUAGAACACGUCUGACGGUCAGGGACGAAAGCUGGGGUAGCGAACCGGAUUAGAUACCCGGGUAGUCCCAGCCGUAAACGAUGCAUGCUAGGUGUUGGGUUGGCCACGAGCCACCCCAGUGCCGCAGGGAAGCCGUUAAGCAUGCCGCCUGGGAAGUACGAUCGCAAGAUUGAAACUUA